ACUUUUGGAUAAUGGGGGAAACCCUGAUCCAGCCAACCCGCGUGUGCGAUGAGGGCCUUCCGGUUGUAUAGCACUUCUGUCCGGCAAGAAAAGGUUCUGGCUUAUACCCGGAACUGAUGCCGGUACCUGUACAAUAGGCCCCGGCUAGCUAUGUGCCAGCAGCCGCGGCAAUACGUAGGGGGCAAGCGUUAAUCGGAAUUACUGGGCGUAAAGCGUGCGCAGGCGGUUCGGAAAGAAGGAUGUGAAAUCCAAGGGCUCAACCUUGGAACUGCAUUCUUAACGACCGAACUAGAGUAUGUCAGAGGGGGGUAGAAUUCCGCGUAGAGCAGUGAAAUGCGUAGAUAUGCGGAGGAAUACCGAUGGCGAAGGCAGCCCCCUGGGAUAAUACUGACGCUCAUGCACGAAAGCGUGGGUAGCAAACAGG
rnacentral:rRNA from 1 species